UUAUGUAAUGGAAUUGAAUGAAGCAAGUGUCAGAUCUACAUCUCUACAAACACUCACUUUAUCAGUUCAGAGAAUAAAGAGAUGAAUUUAAUAAUGCCACUGGACACUUAUACUCUAUCGGAUCCUAAUAAUUUCUCACACUAAUGAAUUCUUCUAUCAACUUCAUGUUAAUCAAGAGGAGACAGAGCCAAGAAGUGAGUAAUUGCUUACUGAAUUGUGAAAGCUGGGAUGAUUUAACUACAGCCUCCCUAGAAUGUGACAGUCCACAGAAAUAUCUGAUUUCAAAGAGAUGCUUGCAUUCUGUACUGAUGCCAUCUAGAAUUGUAAAUGACCAGUGUCACACUGCUAAGUGGAGAAAGCGUGAAAGAAGAAUCCCAUCAGUACAUUCACGAUAGAGGAAAUAAGAAACAAUGAAAGCCACAAGUAAGUCCUGAGUUGAUCAACAGUAUUGCACUU
rnacentral:lncRNA from 1 species